rnacentral:rRNA from 1 species
ACACGACUACAUUAGAUACCCCCGUAGUCCUAGCCGUAAACGAUACUCGCUAGGUGUCGGCCACGGUGCGACCGUUGUCGGUGCCGUAGGGAAGCCGUGAAGCGUGCCACCUGGGAAGUACGGCCGCAAGGCUGAAACUUAAAGGAAUUGGCGGGGGAGCACCACAACGGGUGGAGCUUGCGGUUUAAUUGGAUUCAACGCCGGAAAUCUUACCGGGACCGACAGCAACAUGAAGGCCAGGCUGAAGACUUUGCCGGAUUAGCUG